AACGAACGCUGGCGGCAGGCCUAACACAUGCAAGUCGAACGCUCCAGCAAUGGAGAGUGGCAGACGGGUGAGUAACGCGUGGGAACCUACCCUUUGGUUCGGAAUAGCCCAGGGAAACUUGGGGUAAUACCGGAUAAGCCCUUCGGGGGAAAGAUUUAUCGCCAAUGGAUGGGCCCGCGUCGGAUUAGCUAGUUGGUGGGGUAACGGCCUACCAAGGCGACGAUCCGUAGCCGGUCUGAGAGGAUGAUCAGCCACACUGGGACUGAGACACGGCCCAGACUCCUACGGGAGGCAGCAGUGGGGAAUAUUGGACAAUGGGCGCAAGCCUGAUCCAGCCAUGCCGCGUGAGUGACGAAGGUCUUCGGAUUGUAAAGCUCUUUUGGCGGGGAAGAUAAUGACGGUACCCGCAGAAUAAGCCCCGGCUAACUUCGUGC
rnacentral:rRNA from 1 species